rnacentral:rRNA from 1 species
GAGUUUGAUCGUGGCUCAGAUUGAACGCUGGCGGCAUGCCUUGCACAUGCAAGUCGAACGGUAACAGGUCUUCGGAUGCUGACGAGUGGCGAACGGGUGAGUAAUACAUCGGAACGUGCCCGAUCGUGGGGGGAUAACGGAGCGAAAGCUUUGCUAAUACCGCAUACGAUCUACGGAUGAAAGCAGGGGACCGCAAGGCCUUGCGCGGACGGAGCGGCCGAUGGCAGAUUAGGUAGUUGGUGGGAUAAAAGCUUACCAAGCCGACGAUCUGUAGCUGGUCUGAGAGGACGACCAGCCACACUGGGACUGAGACACGGCCCAGACUCCUACGGGAGGCAGCAGUGGGAAUUUUGGACAAUGGGCGAAAGCCUGAUCCAGCCAUGCCGCGUGCAGGAUGAAGGCCUCGGUUGUAACG